CGUCUAUAUACGUAUAGCAUAUCAAUAAGCGGAGGAAAAGAAACUAACAAGGAUUCCCUUAGUAACGGCGAGUGAAGCGGGAAGAGCUCAAAUUUGAAAUCUUCAAGGUUCUACCUUGACGAAUUGUAGUUUAAAGAAGUGUUUUCUGUUAGAGGAGUAGGCAAAAGUUCCUUGGAAUGGGACAUCAUAGAGGGUGAGAAUCCCGUAUUUGGUUAUUCUUUCUAGCUUUGUGAUACACUUUCAAAGAGUCGGAUUGUUUGGGAAUGCAGUCCAAAAUGGGUGGUAAAUUUCAUCUAAAGCUAAAUAUUGGCGAGAGACCGAUAGCGAACAAGGUACCGUGAGGGAAAGAUGAAAAGAACUUUGAAAAGAGAGUUAAACAGUACGUGAAAUUGUCAAAAGGGAAGCGUUUGACACCAGUGUUGUUUUUCCGAAAAUCAAUUAAGACGGCUUGAUUUUGUGUUGUAUUGACCUUAUCAGCUUUCUUCACUCUUUUUCGAGUCUUUCUUAAUGCACUUUUCGGUUAGCAAGUCAACAUCAAUUUCUUUUGUUGUAAAAGGGUAUUUGGAAGGUGGCUUUCUUUUCGGAGAAAGUGUUUAUAGCCUUAUACCUCUACAAUCGGAGAGAUUGAGGUCUGCAGCGUAGAUCCUUCGGGGCUAGAUACACUUGUGCUAAGUUAUAGCUUUUCAUAGACAACUUGUUGACUAUGUUUAGUCAUGUAGCUUACCCGCUUGUGCUAUUUUACCUACGCUUAGGAUGUUGAGUCAUCACACAUCUCU
rnacentral:rRNA from 1 species